ACGACCCUGAACAGGAUGUGUUCCAUAGGGUUGUACCCUGUUGUCCCAUUAAUCUAAACAGAGUUUGUUGGAUGAACUGUGGCUUUGUGAUCUGAGCUUCCUCUUAGUGACAUCUGUAGAUGAUCUUUCACAAUUAAAGAUACGGUAGUUCUCAGCCACAUGGGUCACAGGAUAGUCCGACAGACU
rnacentral:snoRNA from 1 species